AUCCUGCAAUGAGGUCUCUCUAAAACUUACAAGUUACAAAGCCCGUACAGCUCACUCUGGUAUUUUUACCACACUUUCUGCAAAGGUAAAAAGUGUAAGUGCAAAUACACAGAUUUUCAACAGCUUGGAAGGGGUUUUGGAGAUUAAAGUUUAAAUAUUUAGCCUCUACAGUCUUGCAGCCUUUAUCGGAGUAAACCUGUUCCUUGAGGAGGGGCCUAGCAAGAGAUUACAAAUGCCGCCUUUCUGCCCUCAAAGAAAAAAGGGAGCUGUGGAUGCUAAAUGCACAAAGCAAGCAGGGAACACAGAGCCUGUGUGAAACUAAGUCACACAAACUUCUCACUCUGGCCUGGGAAAGCAUAAAGAAGAAUCUAAACAGUCAUUGGAAAAAGACAACAACCUUUGCAGAGCUCUCUGUCCUGGACCUGACUUUGUUCCCGUGCUGAAUAAAUGGUUUCGUGAACCGGGAGCCCGUCUUGUUGGUGUUUCGUGCUGGUCCCCAGAAUCCUGCUGCUUCCCUGGACGAGAUCCUGAGGUUGCUGACUGCAACAAUAAUAAACUCAGCUCUCUUGGACAAUGCAGCUAAGAGAGUAAGUGUCGUACUUCUCGCCAUUUCUAAUAUAGUGUACAUCAUCAGGGAUGAUGGGGUCCAUAAAAACCUCCCAAACACCAAGAUUCA